GUAGUAAAAGUUAGAAAGAGUAAUCCACAGAUUGUAAUCUGUGAGAUAAAUAGUGAAUGUCAGUAAUAUUGUAGUGAGGUAUUUUAAAUAAAGAGUAUUAUUUCUUUCAAAAUUGUAGUAGUCUCUUGACACUACUAAGUUGUAAUAUUAUAGUUGUAAUAUUGCUCUGCUCGGGUAUUGUAUUUACCUCGCUAAAAGAGUUGGUGUAUGUCGUUGUUACUCUCUUGUAUUAUUAUUAUUUUUCAUGGAUAUUAUUUUUGGGCUGGAUUAUUAUUUUUCCCAACAUUCACUUUAUUUUUCCUCCCUUUUCGAUGUAUUAUUUGAUUAAGUGCAAGUAUGCAACUCAUUCUUCGAAAGCUUGCAAGCUUAAAAGUCUGCCAAUCAGCUUUACCUGCCCUUAUCAAUACAUCCUCUAUCAAAGAUUUUGAGAUUCUGAAGCAGAUAUCGCAGUGGCCUGAGUCUUCGCUAUUCUUGAGAACAGCAGUGGUGAGCCUUUCACAUUAAUUAUCUGUGGAGGGCAUCUUGGGUUUAUGUCUUGUUCACUUUUAUUGGAUGCUAUCCCGUUUCAAUUAUACUUAGAUAUUUUGAUGCUCCAUAUAUUAUUUGGGUUAUGGGAUUCUUUUGGCUGGUAAUGUUGUUGUUAUUAUCUGAAUUGAUAUACUAUCUACCUCAAUCACAUCAGAUGCAUGUUAUAUGUUA